rnacentral:piRNA from 1 species
UAAUCAACACCUGAAAAGCAGCAUUUGNGAUU